GUAGCUUCGGCUGCACAUACUUUAAAAUUGGAAUGAUACAGAGAAGACCAGCAUGGCCCCUGUGCAAGGAUGAUGUGCAAAUUUGUGAAGCGUCCCAUAUUUGA